UUUUUUUUAACAGUGUAAUCCGCAGCUGAAACGUUGUACGUAUACCGAUGUCGUGCGGGCUCCAUUUUUAGUUGCGAGCGGCGGUUGUGAUAGAAAAGGACAAAAUGCAGAUGAUAGCGCAAAGCUGUGUCCUCUUAUUGUGGAUGCAUACUUUGACCUUGGUGAAAUGUCAAGAGUGCACACUUGAAGAUUUUAUGAACGGUCACCUGUACGAUUCCAAUUUUGACACAACCAAUUUGGAGGCCACAUACCUCAACGGGCAGCAAGUGCAAGUGGGCUGCACGGUUGGCUACGGCGGAUUUUUCCAACUCAUCUGUACCCAUGGAAGGUGGCAGGCUCGUGGAACAAAAUGUCAACAACAUCCUUAAAGAAAGAAUCCUAGUUAUCCCUCAACCGGACCAAGUCUAGAGGACACUACAGCACCCCAGAGAUCCAACCGCAUGAGUCUGAUACAGAUCUGAUGUUGCAUUUUGAAAUAAAAGGCCUCUGAAAACUGGUUUCUGACAAGUUGA